rnacentral:rRNA from 1 species
AGAGCUCAAAUUUAAAAUCUGGCGGUUAUGCCGUCCGAGUUGUAAUUUAGAGAAGUGUUAUCCGCGCUGGACCGUGUACAAGUCUCCUGGAAUGGAGCGUCAUAGAGGGUGAGAAUCCCGUCUUUGACACGGACUGCCAGGGCAUUGUGAUGCGCUCUCGAAGAGUCGAGUUGUUUGGGAAUGCAGCUCAAAAUGGGUGGUAAAUUCCAUCUAAAGCUAAAUAUUGGGGAGANACCNAUAGCGAA